CAACUUUCAGCAACGGAUCUCUUGGCUCUCGCAUCGAUGAAGAACGCAGCGAAAUGCGAUAAGUAAUGUGAAUUGCAGAAUUCAGUGAAUCAUCGAAUCUUUGAACGCACCUUGCGCUCCUUGGUGAAUUCCGAGGAGCAUGCCUGUUUGAGUGUCAUUA
rnacentral:rRNA from 2 species